CGGGGCGUGGCGCAGCCUGGUAGCGCGCCUGGUUCGGGACCAGGAGGCCGUAGGAUCAAAUCCUAUCGCCCCGA
rnacentral:tRNA from 1 species